GGAAAAUAAAAAACUUGCCAAUGAGAAUCAGAGUGGAUAAACAUUUAAAUGAAAAUAACAAACUUGUGACUGAAAAUGAUAAAGUUGUGAGUGAGAACAAUCAUCUUAAACAAUUGCUGCAGAGGUUUAGUCAUCUGUUAAAUAAAGUACAGCCUUCUGCUCCGGUUAAGCAGAUUUGUAGAUUGCUUCAUAGCCCAUACCCUGAAAGCUGGGAUGGUGAUUUCUGGUUUGACAGUGAUGAUGUCAAAGAGAUUGCUGAUUCUGAACCUCAAUCGAUUUCCCUGAGACCUUUGGUUAAGACUGAGUCUACUGUUGAUGAUGAUGAUGAAAUCUGCACUACUGUGCAAACGAUCCCAUGGUCACCGGCAGAGAUGGUUAAAAUACAGGAGAAGUUCUCGAGGCGGUCAGGGGAAUUGGAAGUUGAUUAUGUGUGGCGAAUUUUUCUUGAAGGAGGAGAUCAAAUUACGUUGAGUGAGGAAGAGGCAGGAGGCUUUUGAGGACCUGGAGUAUUUUUAAC